UUAUUGCUAUAUCAACAAUAUAUAUAUUAGGUUUACAGUCAGAAAAGAAAAUCUGGCUUUGAGUUCUUGCUCUGCCACCUACUAUGACCUUGGGCAGGUUGUUGAAUCCUGGUUCCAUUUUCUUUGCGUGUAAAACAAGAUAACACCUCUCUCACAGGAUUGUUGUGAAAAUUAAGUUAAAAUAUGUUCAAUUACUCAUUCCACAGAUAUUUAUUGAGGGUCUAUUAUGUGCGAGGGUUUUGUGGGGCAGUGCAAGGUCCCUGACCUCAAAGAGCACAUAGUGGGGGUGGGGUGACUUUUAACAAGUUUACACAAAUACAAACAUAGAUAGUUACCAACCAUGAUUAGCUAUGAAGAAAAAAGCAACACACAUACUUAAAGAGAGUAACAGGGCAGACUGAUGUACACUGGGGGAUCUCUGAGGUGUUUAGCUGAGAUUUAAAGGACAAAUUCAAGUUAGCUGAGGAAAGAGGGAGAGAGAGUUUUGCAAACAGAGGGAACAGCACACAUACUUGCAAGCUCAGGGGCAGUAGAGAGUGCUAGUUAUUUAUAAAGUCAGUGAAGCUGAAGCCCAGCAUGUGGCAGAAAGAUGCGCCUGGAGAGGUGGGCAGGGGCCAGACCACCACACACCUUCCAGGCAUCUUAAGGAUUUUGGAUCCUAUCCUAAGGGCAAUGAGAAACCACUGGGAUUUGAGCUAGGAGAUCUAGCUAGGAUCCAGUUCACACCUAAAGAAAAUCACCCUUGUUGCUGUGUGGAGAGUGGAAGACUGGGAAGAAGUAAGAGUGAAGGCCAAGAGACCAGUUAGAAAGUAGUCUAGACAAAAUAAGAGAGUGGUUCAUACUCGGAUGGUGUCAACAGAAAGAACUGGGGGGGGCGGGGUGGAGACAGAGAAAUGGAUGGAUUCAACAUCUAUAUUUAGGGUGGAUUAGAAAUAGGGAGUGAGGGAAAGGACAGGAUGUAUCAGGAUGGCUGCCAGAUUUCUACAGUGAACUUCUGGGUAGUCACAGGUGCCCUUUAUUGAAAUGGAGAAGGCCAGAGGUGGAAGAGAUUUAAAACAGAGAAGAGGGAAUGAAGGGUUCAUUUUUUAAUAUGUUUAAUUUGUGCUGUCUAUGAGAUACCCAAGGGGAUUUAUCAAGAAGGCAGUUAAAUAUACACAGAUUGAGGGCACAGAGACAAGGGUUUUAAAGGAACUUCCUAUACUUGACUGUACUCCUUUAAAGUUUUAAAAAGUAUCUUCCUCUGGCAUCUGAUCUUACUAAAGCUUCUUUCACAAUGUUGUGGAUAAAAGUGCAGCAGUUAACAGAGUACCUAACUUUACUUCACAGCCAGAAAGAGUUCAAGAUACUUUAGGAACCUUACUGCCUUUGGUGAUUCUGACUUUUCCCACUUACACAGGAAGUCAGGGGCAACUGGUUCUGGGAUAUCUCAUCCUUCCCUUCAUUGGGACACUAUGGAAUGUGAAAUCCAUCACCAAGAGGCCCACCUGAAAAUGUGCUACAUAUCAGUACAAUUCCAACUCCGUGGAAAAAGAGACAACCCUGGACAAUUUUUUUAAGUUUUGUUUUGUUUUUUUAAGUUGUCGACCACAUCCUGAAUUGAGAGCAAAUACUCUGGGGAUUCAGUAGAAAACAGAGCAUUUCUUUUUGAACCUGGCCUCACAAAGAACCUCCAUGAAAAAGGUGCCCUCCUCGGCCUAACCCCACAAUCCACCCACCAGUUCACUUGGCCCUACUCGGCAGUCCGGUGGACGCGGCGGGCAGGAAACCAGCCUCUAGGAGGAGUGCAGAAGCAGGCUCCCGCCUGCCGGCCGCCCAACCAGAAUGGAACCAAGGGAAGUGUUCUCACUAAAAUUCAACAAGAAACCAACUUUGGGAUCAGAUUGGAUUCCAGAUUUUGAUCAAAUGGUGUUCACUUUUGCUUUAAGUAAUUGGAUCAGUUCUGUCUUCAUUAGCUUUUGUCGAUUAAUGUCAGCAUUUGGCUCGUUUCUUCUCUUUUGCUGCCAAAGUUGCUGCCAUUUUAACUAUAUCACCACUCUCCUUCUCGAUGUAAAAUCUUACCCGGAAUCAUCAUGUAGAAAACAGACAAAGCAGGGCUGUUCUGACAAACCCACCCAUUUAGUCCCUGCCAGCUGUCUCUCAACCCCAUUCCCACACCUCCCCCGCACACACACUGUGGGUCCCUGAGGCACCUCCACAGGCUCCUAUGGCCCCAGAACUUAAUUUUUUUCAACAUCAUCUUAAGAAAGAAAAAAAAAAAAAAAAAAAAGAAUAGCAAUGUCCUUCAUUCUUGAUAUUCUUGAUAAAGAGGAUGAUACUUUUUUUUCCUACAUGCCAAACUGCAAGCCAGGCCUACUCAACAAAAUCUAUACCAUUUUAUUGAACAUCAGAAACAAGGAAGAAGGUAUAGAUGCCAAGCUAAAAGAAACACUGCUUCAAAGCAGGCCACUGACCCCACAAGAACAAAUAAAUUCCUCUGAAACAUUGUGGUUUGAAAGCAUUUACAUAUACUCUAUCUCAUUGGACCCUCAGAGUGCACUUGUGUAGGUGGCUUCUAGUUCCAUUUUUCUAUAAGGAUUUGAGAUGGUGAGUGACCUACAAGGCAGGGGCCACCAUGUGGAGACAGCUUGCUCUAAAGUGAAGCCAAUUCAAAGUAAAGUAGAAUUGACAGAGAGAAACAGACAGAGAAAAUAACCCCAUUGAGGCUGUCAGCCCCAGCUGUCCUGAGCAAGCCCUACCCUUGGACUUUCCAAUCAAGAGAAGCAACGAAUUCCUUUCUUGAUUCAGCCAGUUUGUCAAGCUUCAGAAAGAGUCCUGAGUCGCCACUAUGACAGAGCACUAGAGAGGGAGUGAUGGAUGCCAGCUUCUGUAGGAGCAACGAGAGUGACCAAAACUGCUGUCAGACUACGAGGACUGCUGGGUCCUGAAGAAUUUUCUGGGUGACUUGAGGACUGAUGACUUGUUUCCCAUUUCCCCCCCUCCUCAGACAUCUAUUUGACCUACUCCUGCCACAGAGGGAAACCUGAGCAUGCCCCCGGUUCUCACAGCCUGAUGGAGCCCAGGGACCACAUCCCUCUUCUGUCCCUCCUCAGUAAGCGGGAGGUCCACCUCACUACUCUUCAGCCCACGUUCCAUAUUCCUAUGCCUUUUCCCUUUGCUCAUUUCAACUAGGAGGUAAAUCACCAUAAUGUAUGUUUUUAAAAUUUGCAUUUCUUUCAUUACUAUGAGAUUGAAUACUACACUGAACAUAUGUUAAUUAGGUGUUUUUACUUUUUAUUUCCUCUUCCGAGAAUUAUAUGUUUAUGUUUGUUGCCAAUUUAUCUACUGGAAAAUCAUUACUUACUUAUAUAAAAAUUAUCUAUGACACACAAGAGAAAUCCAUGAAUUCCAUUAAAAAUGUAAAAUAUCACAAUCAGUAAGGCUCUGUUGUUUCAAAGCAAUCCCACAAAUACAUCUAAAUGAAUCAUGUCAAUUUCUUUAAAAUCCAGACCUAUGCCUGCUAUGUUAAGUUAUUUGAGAUGUUGGAGCUUACCAGAUAUUGUUAAUCUGACAUUAAAGCAAAUCUUGGUUCAGGAAACCUGGUAUUUAGGUUUGAUGUUGUUUAUAGCUCCCUCUGUCACAGCAACUGCACAUUCCAUCCAAAAGCAGCAGAAUACACAUUCUUCUCAAGUGCACAUGGAACAUUUUCCAGGAUUGAUCACAUGCUGGGCCACAAAGUGAGCCUCAGUAAAUUUAAGAAAAUUGAAAUCAUAUCAAGUGUCUUUUCCAACCACAACACUAUGAGAUUAGAAAUCAAUUACAAGAAAAAAACUGUAAAAAGCACAAACACGUGGAAGCUAAACAAUAUGUUACUAAACAACCAAUGGAUCAGUGAAGAAAUCCAAGAGCAAAUCAAAAAGUACCUAGAGACAAAUGGAAAUGAAAGCACAAUGAUCCAAAACCUAAGGGAAGCAGCAAAAGCAGUUCUAAGAGGGAAGUUUAUAGCAAUACAAUCUUACCUCAGGAAACAAGAAAAAUCUCAAAUAAAC